UACAGAGGGGGCAAGCGUUGUUCGGAAUUACUGGGCGUAAAGGGCGCGUAGGCGGCCUUCUAAGUCGAACGUGAAAUCCCCGGGCUCAACCCGGGAACUGCGUCCGAUACUGGAAGGCUUGAAUCCGAGAGAGGGAUGCGGAAUUCCAGGUGUAGCGGUGAAAUGCGUAGAUAUCUGGAGGAACACCGGUGGCGAAGGCGGCAUCCUGGACCGGCAUUGACGCUGAGGCGCGAAAGCCAGGGGAGCAAACGGG
rnacentral:rRNA from 1 species